rnacentral:tRNA from 3 species
GCCUGUCUGGCGAAACUGGGAUACGCGCUGCAUUCAGGGUGCAGUGUCCGAAAGGGCAUGGGGGUUCGAAUCCCUCGGCGGGCAC